GCCUGCUUCUUCCCGCCUGAUGCUUUUGCACCUGUUUCCAUGGUAACAGCUUCUAUUGUAGCCCAGACCCUCAUGCAGAUGUUGUCAUUGAUCCAACACCUUGCGGCAGCUUUGAUGGCGCAUUGUCUUCUUGUUUCCCACUUUCCUGUCUCUGUUCUCCCCCAGAAAGGAUGGGUUGGGGGUGCUUCCUCCUGCUCAGGGCCUUUGAUCUGAAGGAGGAGAAGGGAGAAAGUCAUCGAUUCAGCUUUAUUACGAAUUGUAAUCCUUCCUGGAGGGCUUUCUGAGAGCUAAAAUAAUAUGCCAUGGAACCAGUUACAGCACGCUCCCUUCCCCUUCUGGGAUUUGUCUCUCCGUGGCAGAGCUCAGCAGCAUCUGUGAAGUGGAAAUGAGCAGGCAGUGCAGCAGAUCAAAAUGAGGCCGUGGGCUUUGGAAAACGCUGGGGUUCAGUCUCACUGGCAGCCACGUGAGCACUGGGCUGUGGCCGCCCUCCUGCUCCUGGACUGUGGCAGGCUGAUACCUACUGUGACCUCCUCACCUCGUGCACUCAGCACAGCUCCUGGCAUCAGAUAUCCCAGCUUUGCAUGGUUGCAACUCCUACUGACUUGGGUCAGAGUUUACCUGGAGGGCCUGGAGCAGUGGCACUGCUCAGGGCUGUUGUGUGAUGAGAGUGACUCACUGCUCCCGCUCCCUGCCUUCCCCUUCACAUACAAAACAAGCAAGGCCUGGACUUGUCCCUGUUCCCAUCUCCUUAUCUUGCUUUCCACACAGCCUGUGGAGCAAGCAGACCUGUGAAGGGUGGCCUUGCAAGGACCUGGUCUGCAUGCAUUGCCAGGCUUCUCUUCCAUUUA
rnacentral:lncRNA from 1 species